UCAGGGCCUGCCUCUAUUAGAAGUAAGCAUUUCUAACUCCUCCACAGAGAGGCAGACAAUCUUAUUAAACACCCACAUGUCAGAUUUCAAAUAUUUACACAUUAUCUUGCCAUGGAACAUGUUUUCCACCAGCAACACUAGUGAGACUCCAUUCUAGUAUGUACACCGUUGCCAGAGCAGUGUUCUCCAAAACCUGCUCACAAGCUGUUUGCUAGCACCAAGUCUGUCUACUCGGCUUCCCGAGGCCACCACAUUUUGGAGAUUCUGAUGGAAGUCCACGGUCUUCUUACUUUCAGGAUUCUGUGGAGGAGCGAAGGGCAGCUUUUCUACAUGCCUCCUCCUGGGACAAGCAUCUCUGGACCCAGUCUCGGACCUCUUCCCGUUUCUCUCCAUGCUUCCUGUAUACCAGACGGAUGGUGCUUGACACAUGCAUUACCUUGGAACAAGCUGAAGAACCGAAGCAACAGAAUGCCCCCUACCCCACCAAGAGAGAUGUCACUGGUGUGGAGAAGGGCCUAGAGACUGAUACUUUUUUUUUUAAAGAUCACAUUUAUUUAUCUGUGUGUAUGUGAAUAAAUGUAUGUGGGUAUGUGUAUGCUAUGUCAUGUUAGGACAUUAGAGGGCAACAUGCAGGAAUUGGUUCUCUCUUUCCACCAUGUAGAUCCAGGGGAUAAAACUCAGGUCAUAUUGGGUUUGGUGGCAAGUGCCUUUACUUGCUGAGUCAUCCCUCUUACCCUACCACUGGGAUCUACCUACCUACCUGUCUGUCUGUCUGUCUGUCUGUCUGUCUAUCUAUCU